UGGAGGCGCGCGUUCGUGUCGGUUUUGAAUUGGGCCUCGUCGGUGUUUUUGGUGGACCUUGUUAUCCAAAGCAUCAGAAAGAAGCAGCCCGACGACCUCCUGCGCCAGGCCCAGCGGCUCCACUGACCCAACUCCGGCCAUCUUCGGCCGGGUGGGAUCACCGCGCGCCUCCGCCGUCUCCCCCUCCCCCCGCGCUCCUUCUUCCGGCGGCCCCUACCCCCUCUCCCGCCACUCCUUGCGCGCGGCGACCUCGCGGCGCCGCCUUCACCAGCACGCCCAACCUGACAGUCGCCGCCGCGGUCCGUCCCGGGAGAAUUCGUGGGGAGAAGGAAGGCGGCGCGCUUAUGGGUCCGCCCACCAGCCUCGGCGGGUGAGCGAUGCGGCGGCCCCAACCGCGCGACAGGUACAGGGGGGAAUCACAUGUGGAAGGCAUGGCAGUUGCGCCGAGCAAUCCAUCUACGGCGUCGUCGACCAAGCUCGAAUCUAAGGAGAGAGCCCAAGAUUGGACACCGAGGUUAUGCCAAUAAUGUUCCGGAGUUGAACUCCAACAGUGGGGCCUUGCUGAAAGGUGAACGCUACUACACACUGGGGAAGAGAGAAGGCAGCUCUGUGUGCAAUUCAGCCAUUGCCGGAGCUUCAGAGGAAACCGGAUUUAGUGCGGAGCACGAUAUUGGGGGUGAGUGCGAGGCUGAUGUCCAUUUGGUAGCAAAAUUGGGCCCUGGUAUUGGGAAAUUGAUUAUGUCGAAGUGCUCUUUCAUUUUUGACAGUGGAAGGGACACCUUUGAAGGGAAUUGCAGCUUGCGUGAUGUACUUAAGCUUGGUCUCUGGCUCUCACCGGAGACCCUCCGCAGGUUCUGGCGUGCUUCGCGGCUGAGGCCUGAGGAUUUUCUUGACAUUUUGAUCGGUUUCGGACAAGGUGCAGCAGAAGUUAGGAACGCAAGAUUUCUGUGGAAUUUGUAUAGGUGGGCUUCGUGGCAGAGCAAGGACUUCCGACAUCUUCCAAGGUCGAAUGACAUCAUGGUGUCAAUACUUGCAGAUGCUCAUAUGCUCAGCCAAGCUGAAUCAUUGCUUCUCUUGCUGGAUGACAACAGGGCUCUCACCGAUGCGAGUAGACUGUUCAGUCAGAUUACCCAGAUGUAUUCAGAAGCUGGCCACCUCGACAAAUCAGUGGCACUUUUUGAUUGUGCAAGGUCCAAGUGUUUGAUUCCUUCAGCCUCAUGCUAUCAAGUACUUCUAAAUCGUCUGGUCGGAAAGAGAAAAGAGGAGUUAGUAUUAAGAGUAUAUGUGGACAUGCUUGAAGUUGGAUUAGGCUCUUGCACAGGAGAUAUUCUUGAUUUUGUCGUCAAUGCUUUAGUCAAGGGAGACAAAUUCUUACAGGCUAUUCGUAUAAUUCGGCAGCUAAAGAGCUUGAACAUUGAAAUAAGCAAGGGAUCCUUGUCAACUGUUGCAAAAGAAUUUUGCAGGAAGAAGGACAUUGGUGAUAUGAUGAAUUUCUUGGAAGAGUGGAGGUAUUUACCUGAGCUGCGUCUUUGCAAUCGAAUGCUUGCGUCUUUGUGCACAAAUCUUGGUACUGACGAGGCAUGGUUUGUCUUGCAAAGAUUAGAGUCCUUAGGAUUUGCCCCAGAUGCUACAACCUUUGGCAUUUUCAUAUGCCAUAGCUGUAGAGAAAUGAAACUCAAAGCUGCAUUCCUCUAUUUAUCUGAGUGCUUUUCUAGACAUAUUGAACCUAAAGUUUGUGCUUAUAAUGCUAUUAUAGGUGGUGUUUUCACAGAGGGAUUGUACAGACAUGCAAAAUAUAUCCUUGAAGACAUGAUUGAAAGAAAAAUAAUGCCAGAACUGUUAACAUACAGGAUACUUCUGGCAGGAUAUUGCAAGUAUAGGCAGUUUGAUGAUAUAGAACAUAUCUUGAGAACAAUGGAGACUAAUGGUGUAAAUGAUCUUCCAUCUGGAAAUUGUGUGCUCUCUAAGGCCUUAUCCUUCCUGGGGCUAGACCACUUAGGAGUGAAGGUCAAGAGAGAUAACGCCACUGGCUUUCCAAAAGCCGAGUUUUUUGAUUCAGUAGGCAAUGGCCUGUAUUUGGACACUGACUCCAAAAGGUUUGAGAUUUCGUUGGUACAGAUUCUUGAUAAUGCUCUUUACCUAGAUAUUAACUCGAAGAUAGUCAAUGCGUGUCAGCAAGGCAAUGUUGCAAGUGCUCUUCUGCUGAAAAAUGAAGCUUUUCAAUGGGGACAUUACAUUUCACCAGCUAGCUCUUCAGAACUAAUCAAGUCCUUGUGUGCAAGCCCUGCGCAUGUUAUGGAUGUUAUUGACCUUAUGGAGGAAAUGCCAUAUACAUUUGAUAAAUUGGACGCUCAAACUCUAAAUUUAGUCGUCCAAACACUGAGUAAGAAUGAGACGUCAGCUCGUGCAAGAUUAGUUUUGGACAGGUUAUUCAGAAGGGGCUUGCCAGUCAAUCAAGAUACCUAUACUUAUUUGCUUAUAGGCUUCUGUACAGAAAGGAACAUCGCAGGGUUUUGGGAGUGUUGGAAUGUUGCAACAAAGUUUAGUUGGUCUCCUGACAAGAAGGAUGUGAUUCCCCUCAUUAGUCACUUGUGCAAAUGGGGAGUAAUGGAGGAAGCCUUGCAGCUUAUAAGCGUGCUGCUCGACUGCUAUCCAAAUUUGUUUCUUAGUGCAUAUUGUGCACUGCUCAGAGAGUUAUGCAGGACAGGUUACACUAAUGUUGGAUGUGCGAUGCUGGAGGCUCUCCUAGAAAAGGGUGUGGAUGUGGGUCGUUCACUGAUUCUUAAUGUGGCAGAGGGCUUCCUAAAGGAGCAGAAGACUGUCGAAUCGAUUGGACUGUAUGACAUCUGCGGUAAUGAAAUCAAAAUAUCGGAUCUGUUUACCCACCAAUUUGCAUUCUCUUCACUAGCAUUGUUUGAUGCAGAACGGUGCAAGGACUUGGUACAGUCUAUGAUGAAAACAGAAUGUUCUGAUGUCUCAGCUUGCAGCUGCAUUGUGAACGAAUUACUGCAGACAGGAAAAGUAAGCCAGGCAAUAUCAGUUGUUCAAGCAUCCACUUCAGGGAAGAAAUUAAGUGUCAAGUUGCUAAAUUCCAUCCUUCAGUCGUAUUGUUGUCUAAACAAUUGGAGAAAAGUAGAUGCAGUUCUUUGUAUCAUGCUAAAGAUACAUGGCAUAUCUAUUUCUAGCUACCGCCUUCUUGUCCGCAGAAUGUGUGAGCAGAGUCAGUUUUCUAGUGCAUUAUACCUUAAGGAGCUGAUCCAAGACAGUGACAAGUCAAAAGACCUAAUUUUAUACAACAUUCUGUUAUUCUAUCUUUUCAAGAGAAGAAACAUUUUGCAGGUUCUGGAUUUGUUGAAGGAUAUGAAAGGUAACGGUAUUUCUCCAGACAAAACAACAUAUGAUUUCCUUGUUUAUGGGUUUCACAAGUCUGGAGAUACCGACCGUUCAGUUACUAUGCUUGAUGCUUGCAUUGCUCAGGGAUUAACACCAAGCAGCCGCAGUCUCAGAAUAGUAUUGAGUCACCAUUGCUUGUUAGGGAACCUCGAGAAAGCACUGCAAUUAUUUCAUAUGAUUGAGGGCAGUGAAUGGAAGCAUGGUUUAGUCAUUGAGUUAACUCUCAUUUCAGCUCUCCUUUCAUUUGGAAGAAAUUCUGAAGCAAAAUCAUGUCUGAACAACCUGAGCAGAAGUGCACUAGCUACAUCUUACAUUAGUUUUGAUGUGCUAAUCAAGGAAUUCUGCAGACUGGGAGACGUGGAAAUGUCUGUUAAUCUGAUAAAUACAAUGUUGAAGCAUGGUAGACUUCCAAGUGAUGCUAGUUACAGCUCUAUCAUAUACAGGUUAUGUAUACUGAAAGAAUUUGAUCGGGCGCUUGAUUUUCUUGCUGAGAUGCAGUUGGAAAACUUAAAACCAAGUGAGAUCUCCUGUGAUGCGCUCAUGCGUGGCCUUUGCGCCUUGGGAAGAACCAGUGACGCUAAGAAGAUUUUGGAAAUGCUAAGGACCUUUGGGUCUGCAGCAUCCUUUGGCAUGUAUAGAACUGUAUUUGAUAACUACCGUAGGUGUAACAACACACCGGAAGCCGCAGGACUUCUGCAUGACAUGCAGCAAGCAGGACACACACCCAACUUUGAGAUGCAGUGGUCUGUGAUAAGCAAUUUAAGCAGGACUGAUAGGAAGACUGAAGGAUGUGAACAACCUAUCUUAUCAAACCUUAUUUCAUCCAGUGAAUUCCCCAUGAAGGAUAAUAGGAGGAAAUGAUUUUUUUUUCCCAUGCAAAGAUAUAGCCAAUGCUGAUGGCAAGGGGACUAUGGAUGGCUUCCCUCCUACGAAGUGGAUGCACAUCGGCUACCGGCUCGCACGCUAAAGCUAGAGAUACGGCCUUCUGCACCUUGUAGAAGUGGAACAGUGGGUAAUACAUGGACAUUGAGCCAGCGGCAAAUCUCUUUCUGUUCAUCGUUGUUGACCACAAAUUGCAGUCCUGGAUGCAUCCCGGCUAAUUGGUAACACAAAAAGUAUAGGGUCUUGCGAGCUCUGCAGCUAGAGAAAAAGGAAGUGCAUCAAGAUGACCUUACUUCCGACCAUCCGAAGCUGCUCCUGAUAAAUCUUGUUGUGAUUUGAUAUCGUUCAUGUUCUUCUCACACGAUUUUUCUUUAUACGAGGGUUCGGUGGAUAGCCUUUUCAUAGAUGUCUCAUAACCUUUUCUUGUGUUCCUGAGCACACGCUGUUAAUAGAUGUCUUAUUUCAAGUUGCGUUAUUGUUUUCGUCUGAUCACAUUGUGGUUCCACGCCAGCACCUUGAAGGAACCAUCAGGAUUCAGGGCUAUUGUUGUAAGUGCCGAAUCCCAAUUGUGCUCCUACGCUGCCACACUAGGUCAUGUGGUGCCCGCUUGCUCGCACACCCUGCUCCCGGUGACCAAAACGGGCUUCAUCGUCGACGACGCUGCAACGCUGGUGUCGUGUCGACGGCGUCUUUCAACCAUCCAUGGUCCACUGCCCGUUACCCCACAUGCCCUCUCCCGGUCCUUUGACCGAUGUUUGUCUUUGUCUAAUCUUUCUCUUCAUGUUAACUUGUGAUUUAAACACAUGAUCAACCCAGCGUGCGUAACGUCCUGUUUUGAGUCUCAUCCAAUGUGUUGUUGCUUUUUUCGCGGAAAAACAUGUUGCUGCUUGCUUAUAUAUACGCCGAGAACCAUUCAUGAUGAA